GUUUGGUCUGUUAUGAUGUACAGUUUUUGUCUGUUAUGAUUGUUCUGUCAUAGUUAUUAUUAUUAUUAUUAUUAUUAUAUUAGUUAUAUAUAGUUUAGUGUUGAUCGUUUCCACAUUUCUCACUUCACUUUUGGACUCCUGACAUGUCGUUUACCCACAUCGAUCAUAGUUUUUUGGCCACAAUCCUGACAUGUGUCAUUUAAACAUUCUUCACCCUGUUGGAGCAACAUUGUCUAAACUGCUUCUGGUAUCACACCUGACAUUUCAACAUUAUAGACGGGCACGCACUCAGUUUUUGCAACACUCUGAUAUCACAAUUUGGUGUCAGAAAUUCAAUGUCAAAAAGACAGAAAUUUCAUCAAUAAGAUACUCCACAGACCCCAUAUAUGAGAUUAUCAAAAACACAAUUUUGUUUUAUAUGAAGAUUUAUCCAUUUAACAAAGUAAUUGCUAUUUUUGGGUAACAGGUGGUCCUCUAAAUAAAACAAGACAUAAAUGAAAAAAUUGAGUUAUAUUUUCAAAAAAAAAUUGAUAAAAACUAAAUUAAUAUGCCAC
rnacentral:lncRNA from 1 species